rnacentral:lncRNA from 1 species
GCUGCACUGAGGGAGGAAGAGGAGGCAAGGAUAACUACACUGAGGAAGAAGAUGCCAGGAUAACUACACUGAGGAAGAGGAGGCCAGGAUAACUACACUGAGGGAGGAAGAGGAGGCCAGGCUAGCUGCACUGAGGGAGGAAGAGGAGGCCAGGAUAACUACACUGAGGGAGGAAGAGGAGGCCAGGCUAGCUGCACUGAGGGAGGAAGAGGAGGCAAGGAUAACUACACUGAGGAAGAAGAUGCCAGGAUAACUACACUGAGGAAGAGGAGGCCAGGAUAACUACACUGAGGGAGGAAGAGGAGGCCAGGCUAGCUGCACUGAGGGAGGAAGAGGAGGCCAGGAUAACUACACUGAGGGAGGAAGAGGAGGCCAGGCUAGCUGCCCUGAGGGAGGAAGAGGAGGCCAGGCUAGCUGCACUGAGGAAGAAGAUGCCAGAAUAACUACACUGAGGAAGAGGAGGCCAGGCUAGCUGCCCUGAGGGAGGAAGAGGAGGCCAGGCUAGCUGCCCUGAGGGAGGAAGAGGAGGCCAGGCUAGCUGCCCUGAAGGGGGAAGAGGAGGCCAGGCUAGCUGCACUGAGGAAGAAGAUGCCAGAAUAACUACACUGAGGAAGAGGAGGCCAGGCUAGCUGCCCUGAAGGGGGAAGAGGACAGGAAGAGCUGGUUGUUGAACAACAAGAUUAAAAGGAUGAAAAGAGAUGUCAUCACUUUCAGACAGACUCUCUCUCUCCCUAUGCUGUUUGUCUGUUGUUUCUCUCUCCAUCCACUCCGUCGAGGUGUCUGUUUUCCACCUCAUUUGCCGCUCUCUUGUUCCUCUCUCUCGGCUGCCUGCAAAAGUUGCAUUUUAAUAGAUUAAUGAAUGUUUGACGGUUUGAUGGACGGGUCAAUAGUGAUGGACCGUGGAAGGUGAAUGCUUACUGUUGUUGAGAAACUGAGAACCAAAUAUUAAUAGGCUUUGUCCACAACUCUCCAAGUCAGAUGACGCCGAGACCAAACGAGAUCCUUUGGGGCAUGCCAGUCUGCUUUAUAGAUUGGCUUUUUUGGCCUUGGUCUUCCAAUCUAUAAGCAUCAUCAGGAAAUACCCCAUAGUGUUCAUCUUGUCUAGCUGAAAUAAAGCAUAAGAGUGAAAAAGGAAAAUGUGCAUAUCAGAAAAAGAAAACAUUUACACUCUGGAGAAAACACUGGAGAUAACAGAGGGAGGAAUGUAUAUAGUGGCUGUGACAAGACUUAGACUCAAUCCCAAUACCCCACCUUAGCCCUCACCCUCCGUUUUGCAGCAUCCAACAAGCCCCAUCGAGUCGUAGUGGUAAACCAAUUCAACUUUGAAUGAGGCAUAGUGCCUUUUCA